UAGGGAAUCUUCCGCAAUGGACGAAAGUCUGACGGAGCAACGCCGCGUGAGUGAAGAAGGAUUUCGGUUCGUAAAACUCUGUUGUUAGGGAAGAAAAAAUGUAUAGUAACUAUAUACAAAAGAAACGGUACCUAACCAGAAAGCCACGGCUAACUACGUGCCAGCAGCCGCGGUAAUACGUAGGUGGCAAGCGUUGUCCGGAAUUAUUGGGCGUAAAGCGCGCGCAGGUGGUUUAGAAAGUCUGAUGUGAAAGCCCACGGCUCAACCGUGGAGGGUCAUUGGAAACUAAUAAACUUGAGUGCAGGAGAGAAAAGUGGAAUUCCUAGUGUAGCGGUGAAAUGCGUAGAGAUUAGGAGGAACACCGGUGGCGAAAGCGGCUUUUUGGCCUGCAACUGACACUGAGGCGCGAAAGAGUGGGGAGCAAACAGG
rnacentral:rRNA from 1 species